GCCCCGGUAAACGGCGGCCGUAACUAUAACGGUCCUAAGGUAGCGAAAUUCCUUGUCGGGUAAGUUCCGACCUGCACGAAUGGCGUAAUGAUGGCCAGGCUGUCUCCACCCGAGACUCAGUGAAAUUGAACUCGCUGUGAAGAUGCAGUGUACCCGCGGCAAGACGGAAAGACCCCGUGAACCUUUACUAUAGCUUGACACUGAACAUUGAGCCUUGAUGUGUAGGAUAGGUGGGAGGCUUUGAAGUGUGGACGCCAGUCUGCAUGGAGCCGACCUUGAAAUACCACCCUUUAAUGUUUGAUGUUCUAACGUUGGCCCGUAAUCCGGGUUGCGGACAGUGUCUGGUGGGUAGUUUGACUGGGGCGGUCUCCUCCUAAAGAGUAACGGAGGAGCACGAAGGUUGGCUAAUCCUGGUCGGACAUCAGGAGGUUAGUGCAAUGGCAUAAGCCAGCUUGACUGCGAGCGUGACGGCGCGAGCAGGUGCGAAAGCAGGUCAUAGUGAUCCGGUGGUUCUGAAUGGAAGGGCCAUCGCUCAACGGAUAAAAGGUACUCCGGGGAUAACAGGCUGAUACCGCCCAAGAGUUCAUAUCGACGGCGGUGUUUGGCACCUCGAUGUCGGCUCAUCACAUCCUGGGGCUGAAGUAGGUCCCAAGGGUAUGGCUGUUCGCCAUUUAAAGUGGUACGCGAGCUGGGUUUAGAACGUCGUGAGACAGUUCGGUCCCUAUCUGCCGUGGGCGCUGGAGAACUGAGGGGGGCUGCUCCUAGUACGAGAGGACCGGAGUGGACGCAUCACUGGUGUUCGGGUUGUCAUGCCAAUGGCACUGCCCGGUAGCUAAAUGCGGAAGAGAUAAGUGCUGAAAGCAUCUAAGCACGAAACUUGCCCCGAGAUGAGUUCUCCCUGACUCCUUGAGGGUCCUGAAGGAACGUUGAAGACGACGACGUU
rnacentral:rRNA from 1 species